AGCGAACGCUGGCGGCAGGCUUAACACAUGCAAGUCGAACGGGCACUUCGGUGCUAGUGACAGACGGGUGAGUAACACGUGGGAACGUACCUUUCGGUUCGGAAUAAUUCAGGGAAACUUGGACUAAUACCGGAUACGCCCUUCGGGGGAAAGAUUUAUCGCCGAUAGAUCGGCCCGCGUCUGAUUAGCUAGUUGGUGAGGUAAUGGCUCACCAAGGCGACGAUCAGUAGCUGGUCUGAGAGGAUGAUCAGCCACAUUCGGACUGAGACACGGCCCAAACUCCUACGGGAGGCAGC
rnacentral:rRNA from 1 species